GUGAGACUCAAACCCUAUUCCC
rnacentral:siRNA from 1 species